rnacentral:snRNA from 1 species
UAGACAUUAACAACUGCA